AUUGAACGCUGGCGGCAGGCCUAACACAUGCAAGUCGAACGGUAGCACAGAGAGCUUGCUCUCGGGUGACGAGUGGCGGACGGGUGAGUAAUGUCUGGGAAACUGCCUGAUGGAGGGGGAUAACUACGGGAAACGGUAGCUAAUACCGCAGAAGGUCGAAAGACCAAAGCGGGGGACCUUCGGGCCUUUUGCCAGCAGAUGUGCCCAGAUGGGAGUAGCUAGUAGGUGGGGUAACGGCUCACCUAGGCGGCGAUCCCUAGCUGGUCUGAGAGGAUGACCAGCCACACUGGAACUGAGACACGGUCCAGACUCCUACGGGAGGCAGCAGUGGGGAAUAUUGCACAAUGGGCGCAAGCCUGAUGCAGCCAUGCCGCGUGUAUGAAGAAGGCCUUCGGGUUGUAAAGUACUUUCAGCGAGGAGGAAGGCGAUACGGUUAAUAACCGUGUCGAUUGACGUUACUCGCAGAAGAAGCACCGGCUAACUCCGUGCCAGCCGCCGCAGUAA
rnacentral:rRNA from 1 species